AACGAACGCUGGCGGCAUGCCUAACACAUGCAAGUCGAACGAGACCUUCGGGUCUAGUGGCGCACGGGUGCGUAACGCGUGGGAAUCUGCCCUUGGGUUCGGAAUAACAGUUAGAAAUGACUGCUAAUACCGGAUGAUGACGUAAGUCCAAAGAUUUAUCGCCCAAGGAUGAGCCCGCGUAGGAUUAGCUAGUUGGUAAGGUAAAGGCUUACCAAGGCGACGAUCCUUAGCUGGUCUGAGAGGAUGAUCAGCCACACUGGGACUGAGACACGGCCCAGACUCCUACGGGAGGCAGCAGUGGGGAAUAUUGGACAAUGGGCGAAAGCCUGAUCCAGCAAUGCCGCGUGAGUGAUGAAGGCCUUAGGGUUGUAAAGCUCUUUUACCAGGGAUGAUAAUGACAGUACCUGGAGAAUAAGCUCCGGCUAACUCCGUGCCAGCAGCCGCCGUAAAAC
rnacentral:rRNA from 1 species